UCAAGCUACUAAGGGCAUACGGCGGAUGCCUAGGCGCCAUCAGCCGAUGAAGGACGCGGUAAGCUGCGAAAAGCUACGGGGAACUGCAAGCAAGUAUUGAUCCGUAGAUGUCCGAAUGGGGAAACCCACCUGCCGUCAUGGGCAGGUAUCCGAAAGGAAGGGAACCCGGGGAACUGAAACAUCUAAGUACCCGGAGGAAGAGAAAUCAAACGAGAUGCCCACAGUAGCGGCGAGCGAAGAGGGCAGAGGGCAAACCGGGGAGCUACGGCUCUUCGGGGUUGAGGACUGCAUUUAGUCUUAAUGGUUUAUCCGAACUACCUGGAAAGGUAGGCAACACAGUGUAAAAGCCACGUAGGUUAAAGACCAGAGAGAUGAGCAGUAUCCAGAGUACCACGAGGCACGAGGAAUCUUGUGGGAAGCCGGGGGGACCACCCUCCAACCCUAAACACUGAAUGGCGACCGAUAGCGCAUAGUACCGUGAGGGAAAGGUGAAAAGAACCCCGGGAGGGGAGUGAAAGAGAACCUGAAACCGUAUGUCUACAAGCAGUCGGAGCGAAAGCGACGGCGUGCCUAUUGAAGAAUGAACCAACGAGUUACGUGCACUAGCGAGGUUAAGUGGAAGACACGGAGCCGAAGCGAAAGCGAGUCUUAAGAGGGCGGAUAGUUAGUGUACGUAGACCCGAAACCGCAGUGAUCUACCCAUGUCCAGGUUGAAGCGCAGGUAAAAUUGCGUGGAGGACCGAACCUGUGAGCGUUGAAAAGCUUUAGGAUGAGAUGUGGGUAGAGGUGAAAUUCCAAUCGAACGCGGAGAUAGCUGGUUCUCCCCGAAAUAGCUUUAGGGCUAGCCUCAAGUAGUAAGUAUAGGCGGUAGAGCACUGAUCGGGCUAGGGGCCAUAAAGGUUACCGAACCCUGUCAAACUCCGAAUGGUUAUACUGUAGAGCUUGGGAGUCAGACUACGAGUGAUAAGAUCCGUGGUCAAAAGGGAAACAGCCCAGACCACCAGCUAAGGUCCCCAAUGUCGUACUAAGUGGAAAAGGAUGUGGGGUUUCUAAAACAACCAGGAUGUUGGCUUAGAAGCAGCCACCAUUUAAAGAGUGCGUAAUAGCUCACUGGUCGAGAGACCCUGCGCCGAAGAUUACCGGGGCUAAAGUACGAAACCGAAGCUGUGGCUACGACUUAGGUCGUGGGGUAGGGGAGCGUUCUGUGAGGGCUGAAGUCGUUCUGUAAGGAACGGUGGACUUCACAGAAGUGAGAAUGUUGGUAUGAGUAGCGAAAAGAAUGGUGAGAAUCCAUUCCACCGAAAGCAUAAGGAUUCCUGGGCAACGAUCGUCGUCCCAGGGUAAGUCGGGACCUAAUCCGAGGCAUGGAGCGUAGGAGAUGGACAACUGGCAGAUAUUCCAGUACCGGUAAUGAUUGUUUGAGCGAUGGAGUGACACAGGAGGGCAGGCAGGCAGGAGAUUGGUUGUUCCUGUACAAGCGUGUAGGGUGGAACGUAGGCAAAUCCGCGUUCUGAGAGCCUGAGGCGUGAUGUGGAGGUUCCGGAAACGGAACCGAAGCUGCUGACCCCACACUGUCGAGAAAAGCUUCUAGUUAGAGAAUUACCGCCCGUACCGUAAACCGACACAGGUAUGCGGGGAGAGAAUCCUAAGGUGCGCGGGAGAACCCUCGUUAAGGAACUCGGCAAAAUGUACCCGUAACUUCGGGAUAAGGGUAGCCGCUGUUGUGAAGUCUGAACAGACGGAGCAUGAGGCGGUCGCAGAGAAGAGGCCCAAGCGACUGUUUACCACAAACACAGGUGCCUGCUAAAGAGAAAUCUGACGUAUAGGUGCUGACACCUGCCCAGUGCCGGAAGGUUAAGGAAGGAUGUCCGGAGCAAUCCAAAGCAUUCGACCGAAGCCCCGGUGAACGGCGGCCGUAACUAUAACGGUCCUAAGGUAGCGAAAUUCCUUGUCGGGUAAG
rnacentral:rRNA from 1 species